UACACUGCCCUCUCUCUCGUAAAUAUAUUGCCUCUCUUUCUACCAUUCCUUUUUCGGAACCAAACAGAAAAUCCGUGCUUCUAAUCGGCGACGCAAAGAACCAGCAAUUCCGCCAGAAUUCUCACUCAGAGUAAACCUUUCACCGUUUUCUCUCCCCAAAACCUUGACUUUUUCGACAUCAUCAAUCAUAGAAACCUCAGAAACAUGCUUCACUAACUUUAGCAUCGAAAUUUUUAUAGAAUCAUUGGGCUACUUUUUACCAAUGAAUUUUUCUACAGUUUUCUCAUAAGGGUCAGCAAGAAUGGGCUUCAGAGCCCGUAACAGUCUUUUCUCGCUGACCACCACUCACAAGUGUUCCAUCAUCACUAACGCCGUUACUAUUAUAACUAUUAUUAUUGUUAUUAAUUUCGGUAUCAGUAUUUGCAACGUUAUUUGGCAUUUGGGAAUCGAAAGAAGAAGAUGAAUUGUUGAUAGGAGAAGAACCUGGAGAAGGAGAAGAGACUACAGGUGGAAAUUGUUCUUUGGAGUCCAUGCCGUCAGCAACUCCUCGUUUCUCAAUUGAAUUGGGAUGAAGUAAAAAUGGAUAGUUUCACCUGUUCCAUCAUCACUAACGCCGUUACUAUUAUAACUAUUGUUAUUGUUAUUAAUUUUGGUAUUAGUGUUUGCAGCGUUAUUUUGCAUAUAGGAAUCGAGAUAAGGGUUUAUUUUUGAACAAAAACGAUGGAGUUUGGGGUUAAGCAACUAAAAUUUUUUAUUAAUAUAUUUCAAUGUAUUUCAAUGUAUCCAUUAUGUUUUCG
rnacentral:lncRNA from 1 species